UACGUAGGGUGCGAGCGUUAAUCGGAAUUACUGGGCGUAAAGCGUGCGCAGGCGGUUUUGUAAGCCAGAUGUGAAAUCCCCGAGCUUAACUUGGGAACUGUAUUUGGGACUGCAAGGCUAGAGUACGGCAGAGGGGGGUAGAAUUCCUGGUGUAGCAGUGAAAUGCGUAGAUAUCAGGAGGAAUACCGAUGGCGAAGGCAGCCCCCUGGGUCGAUACUGACGCUCAUGCACGAAAGCGUGGGGAGCAAACAGG
rnacentral:rRNA from 1 species